rnacentral:rRNA from 1 species
GAAGCGGCAACAGCUCAAAUUUGAAAUCUGACCCUUAGGGGUCCGAGUUGUAAUUUGCAGAGGGUGUUUCGGGUACGGUGUCGGUUUAAGUCCUUUGGAACAGGGUGUCAUAGAGGGUGAGAACCCCGUAUGUGACCGGUCGCCAAACCCAUGUGAAACCCCUUCGACGAGUCGAGUUGUUUGGGAAUGCAGCUCAAAAUGGGUGGUAAAUUUCAUCUAAAGCUAAAUAUUGGCCAGAGACCGAUAGCGCACAAGUAGAGUGAUCGAAAGAUGAAAAGCACUUUGGAAAGAGAGUCAAACAGCACGUGAAAUUGUUGAAAGGGAAGCGCUUGCGACCAGACCUGCUCGCGGGUGAUCAGCGGUGCUUUUCGCGCCGUGCACUCGUCCGCGAUCAGGCCAGCAUCGGUUCAGGCGGCCGGAUAAAGACUCGGAGAAUGUAGCUCCCUCCGGGGAGNGUUAUAGCUCCUUGUGCAAUACGGCCAGCCGGGACCGAGGACCGCGCU